rnacentral:piRNA from 1 species
UCCAUCACAUUACACAAAGCCUCUUU